rnacentral:rRNA from 1 species
CGCUAUCACUCCUACGGGGAGGCAGCAGUAGGGAAUCUUCCACAAUGGGCGCAAGCCUGAUGGAGCAACACCGCGUGAGUGAAGAAGGGUUUCGGCUCGUAAAGCUCUGUUGUUAAAGAAGAACACGUAUGAGAGUAACUGUUCAUACGUUGACGGUAUUUAACCAGAAAGUCACGGCUAACUACGUGCCAGCAGCCGCGGUAAUACGUAGGUGGCAAGCGUUAUCCGGAUUUAUUGGGCGUAAAGAGAGUGCAGGCGGUUUUCUAAGCCUGAUGUGAAAGCCUUCGGCUUAACCGGAGAAGUGCAUCGGAAACUGGAUAACUUGAGUGCAGAAGAGGGUAGUGGAACUCCAUGUGUAGCGGUGGAAUGCGUAGAUAUAUGGAAGAACACCAGUGGCGAAGGCGGCUACCUGGUCUGCAACUGACGCUGAGACUCGAAAGCAUGGGUAGCGAACAGGAUUAGAUACCCUGGUAG